rnacentral:rRNA from 1 species
UACGGGGGGAGCAAGCGUUGUUCGGAUUUACUGGGCGUAAAGGGCGCGUAGGCGGCCUGUGCAAGUCAGUUGUGAAAUCUCCGAGCUUAACUCGGAACGGUCAAGUGAUACUGUCGGACUAGAGUACAGAAGGGGCAACUGGAAUUCUCGGUGUAGCGGUGAAAUGCGUAGAUAUCGAGAGGAACACCUGCGGCGAAGGCGGGUUGCUGGGCUGACACUGACGCUGAUGCGCGAAAGCUAGGGGAGCGAACGGG